CUACGGGGGGCUGCAGUGGGGAAUAUUGGACAAUGGGGGAAACCCUGAUCCAGCAAUGCCGCGUGUGUGAAGAAGGCCUGCGGGUUGUAAAGCACUUUCGGUUGGGAGGACUGCUUCUAGCACUAAUAUUGUUGGAAGUUGACGUUACCUUCAGAAGGAGCACCGGCUAACUCCGUGCCAGCAGCCGCGGUAAUACGGGGGUGCAAGCGUUAAUCGGAAUUACUGGGCGUAAAGCGCGCGUAGGCGGCUAGAUCAGUCGGGUGUGAAAGCCCCGGGCUUAACCUGGGAACUGCAUCCGAUACUGUCUAGCUUGAGUACAGGAGAGGAGAGUGGAAUUCCACAUGUAGCGGUGAAAUGCGUAGAUAUGUGGAGGAACACCAAUGGCGAAGGCAGCUCUCUGGCCUGAUACUGACGCUGAGGUGCGAAAGCGUGGGGAGCAAACAGGAUUAGAUACCCUCGUAGUC
rnacentral:rRNA from 1 species